AGAGUUUGAUCCUGGCUCAGAUUGAACGCUGGCGGUAUGCUUAACACAUGCAAGUCGAACGGUAACAGAGGAAAGCUUGCUUUCUUGCUGACGAGUGGCGGACGGGUGAGUAACGCGUGGGAAUCUACCUAGUAGCGGGGGAUAGCCAGGAGAAAUCCUGAUUAAUACCGCAUACGCCCUACGGGGGAAAGAGGCCCUCUUCUUGAAAGGUCUCACUACUAGAUGAGCCCGCGUUAGAUUAGCUAGAUGGUGAGGUAAGAGCUCACCAUGGCUACGAUCUAUAGCUGGUCUGAGAGGAUGAUCAGCCACAUUGGGACUGAGACACGGCCCAGACUCCUACGGGAGGCAGCAGUGGGGAAUCUUGCACAAUGGGGGAAACCCUGAUGCAGCGAUGCCGCGUGAGUGAAGAAGGCCUUUGGGUUGUAAAACUCUUUCGUCGGGGAAGAAAAUGACUGUACCCGAAUAAGAAGGUCCGGCUAACUUCGUGCCAGCAGCCGCGGUAAUACGAAGGGACCUAGCGUAGUUCGGAAUUACUGGGCUUAAAGAGCUCGUAGGUGGUUAAAAAAGUUGAUGGUGAAAUCCCAAGGCUCAACCUUGGAACUGCCAUCAAAACUUUUUAGCUAGAGUGUGAUAGAGGUAAGUGGAAUUUCUAGUGUAGAGGUGAAAUUCGUAGAUAUUAGAAAGAACACCAAAUGCGAAGGCAACUUACUGGGUCACUACUGACACUGAGGAGCGAAAGCAUGGGUAGCGAAGAGGAUUAGAUACCCUCGUAGUCCAUGCCGUAAACG
rnacentral:rRNA from 1 species